AUACGGAGGGGGUUAGCGUUGUUCGGAAUUACUGGGCGUAAAGCGCACGUAGGCGGAUUGGAAAGUUGGGGGUGAAAUCCCAGGGCUCAACCCUGGAACUGCCUCCAAAACUAACAGUCUAGAGAUCGAGAGAGGUGAGUGGAAUUCCAAGUGUAGAGGUGAAAUUCGUAGAUAUUUGGAGGAACACCAGUGGCGAAGGCGGCUCACUGGCUCGAUACUGACGCUGAGGUGCGAAAGCGUGGGGAGCAAACAGAAUUAGAUACCCUAGUAGUCC
rnacentral:rRNA from 1 species